AUUCAUUAACCCGUAUAAUGUUAGAAAAAGUAACUGGUUUCAUAUUGUUCAAUGGUAAUGUAAUCACAUCAAGGACAUUCAUUACCCUUUUCGCCAACAUCAGUACGUUUUUCUUUCUAAUAUCCCAGCAAAUUGCUUGAAGAAAAUUUGGAAAAUUUUUUGUUGUUGCUCUACUUUCCGAUUCAACCGCAAGAGGACGGACAAUCGUGUUUUGUGAAUAUCAACCCAAACCAAUAAUAUUGAGAUUGAAUGUUUUGAAUCGAAUAAUAAAUUGGCCGUAUCGAAAA